AAGACUAUAGACCUGCGGAGUACCUGCGGAAGGAUCAUUAUAGAAUUGUUCGAAUUCCAUACGGACGAUUUUCUAAAAAUCCGUAUCCACACCGGUAGGGCUGGGGCCUGAGCAAUCAGACCCGGCCCUUGCCGUAGGGUUCCUUUUCUUUUCUUCGGGAAAGAACUGGUUCCUGUCUGACCCAUGCCUAUAAUUUUUUAUUGUCUGAACUUUUAUAUAAUAUAUAUAAAAACUAAAACA
rnacentral:misc_RNA from 1 species